AAAUUCGGGAGUUUGAGGAUAGGGAGGACACAUGAGACCAGCGUGCCUUUGGUUUGUUCGGUCCUGAAAGUGGAAUAUUACUAAGGAAGAUUUCUGAAGGAUAGCAAAAUAAGUCUGAUUCAGGAGAGGAAACAUAGAUGUGAAGUUUGAUGAUUUCCACACAGAACUGUCUUGGGGCAGUCUGGAUUUAUGGGCUAAAGUCUGCAGGUGCUCCUGCUGAUUCAGACAGUGACAUACUGCUGAAAUUGCGAUAGCAGUGAUACCUGUUACUGUGCACGCUGCAUGAAUCAAGUGGCUGAACUGCCUCCUGAUACAAUCAGCGCUUUCAGUUUACUCCAUCUGUAUAUGCAGUACAAGUUCCUGUUUAUUUCACAGCGUGUGUUUGUAUAAUCAGUGUUCACAUCUUCGGUUCGCGUGCUUUGUCCUGAAGGACAAGCCACAGGGCAGAUGGUCAAGGAAAUGAAUGCGACUUUACUGUGUGAUGGGUGCUGGGACACUCUUGAUGCACUUGUGUGCGUGGGGAUGGUUCCCGUUCACUGCGUGAACCUGUGACCCAAAACAGCGUCCCGGCUGGAAUGUGCAGGCGGUGCAGACGCUGCUGCCACCCACGGCUCUUACGGGACAUUGCCCUGAGUGCAGUGGAAAGGUUGAGACUACUUUGCUGCCAGGUACCGGCUUCCAUGUGCAAGAUAAAUGAGGAGCUCAGUGUGGGACCCUUAAAGCAGAUUGAGCAGCAAAGUUAGUUGAGUAUUUUUGAAUCCCUGAUGUUCAUCGCUUGUGCCAUAUGUACAGGUAGGUAUCAAUCACAAUUUCCUUUCUAAAUAUAAUGCCUUUCCCAAGGAAUUACAAAUGAAGACCUUUAAUAAGUCAAAGGGCUGAAAUUUCAAUUUAGUAAAUUAAUAUUUUUUCUCAGCACUUUGUUUUAUUAACAAUUCAGAACCAGGCUUACAAAUCAAAACAUCUUUUGUCAGGAUUUUUUUUGUUGUUGCAAUUACAAAUGACUGCAAUUUGUUGUUCAUUGUACAAAGUAGAAUCAUUGUCCUGAGUAAACGGAUGUAAGAUUGGAGCUAAAUACUUUGUGCACUGCCUUCAAAACAGCUAACAAAUUUCUGUACAAGAAAGCAUAUUUACACCUUUAUGCACAUAGGAAGUUUGAUAUCAGCUUUUUCACUUAAGGGAGAAUAAGAACAUAUUGCAUAUUAUUUUUUCAGAGCAAUGAAUUAGUUAAAAUACCAAAAAUGCAAUUUUUAUAGUAGCGUAGAAAGACCUUCUUAAUAACAUAGGGGUUUAUAGUUAUGUACUUUUAAGUAUGGAAGCCUUACCCUGGUGUAAACAUCUGAGAUGAAGCUAUGAAUCAUGUCACUGAAAUGGGACAGCAGCUUCAACAGGAUUGACAGAAAAGGGCAUGAAAGUGAGAAUAAAUGUUCAGAAGUUAUAGUUUAAUUUGUUAGG
rnacentral:lncRNA from 1 species